ensembl:snRNA U6 U6 spliceosomal RNA
GGUUGUUUUGGCAGUAAUAUACUAAAAUUGGAAUAAUAGAGAGAAUAUUAGCAAAAUACUUGCACAAGGAUGACACAAAUUCAUGAAGCAUUUCAUAUUUUU